GGACUACCCGGGUAUCUAAUCCCGUUUGCUCCCCUGGCUUUCGCGCCUCAGCGUCAGCAGAGGUCCAGCGCGUCGCUUUCGCCACCGGCGUUCCUUCCGAUAUCUACGCAUUUCACCGCUCCACCGGAAGUUCCACACGCCCCUACCUCCCUCCAGGCCGCCAGUAUCCGCGGCGCUUCCCCGGUUGAGCCGGGGGCUUUCACCACAGACUUGACGGCCCGCCUACGCGCCCUUUAAGCCCAGUGAUUCCGAACAACGUUCGCACGGUUCGUCUUACCGCGGCUGCUGGCAC
rnacentral:rRNA from 1 species